rnacentral:rRNA from 1 species
UUCCGGUUGAUCCUGCCAGAGGCUACUGCUAUCGGGGUUCGAUUAAGCCAUGCGAGUUAAAUGUUCUUCGUGAACAUAGCGAACUGCUCAGUAACACGUGGAUAACCUACCCUUAGGACCGGAAUAACCCCGGGAAACUGGGGAUAAUACCGGAUAAGCCAUAGACGCUGGAAUGCCCUAUGGUUCAAAGCUCCGGCGCCUAAGGAUGGAUCUGCGGUCUAUCAGGUUGUAGUGGGUGUAACGUACCUACUAGCCGACGACGGAUACGGGUUGUGAGAGCAAGAGCCCGGAGAUGGAUUCUGAGACACGAAUCCAGGCCCUACGGGGUGCAGCAGGCGCGAACACUUUACAAUGCGGGAAACCGCGAUAAGGGAACCCCGAGUGCCAGCAUCAAAUGUUGGCUGUCCAGAUGAUUAAAAAUCAUUUGUUAGCAAGGGCCGGGCAAGACCGGUGCCAGCCGCCGCGGUAACACCGGCGGCCCGAGUGGUAGCCCGUUUUUAUUGGGUCUAAAGGGUCCGUAGCCGGCCUGAUAAGUCCUUUGGGAAAUCUGGCAGCUUAACUGUCAGGCUUCUAAGGGAUACUGUCAGGCUUGGGACCGGAAGAGGUAAGGGGUACUCCAGGGGUAGGAGUGAAAUCUUGUAAUCCCUGGGGGACCAUCUGUGGCGAGGGCGCCUUACCAGAACGGGUCCGACGGUGAGGGACGAAAGCUAGGGGAGCAAACCGGAUUAGAUACCCGGGUAGUCCCAGCCGUAAACGAUGCUCGCUAUGUGUCAGGUACGGUGUGACCGUAUCUGGUGCCGUAGGGAAGCCGUGAAGCGAGCCACCUGGGAAGUACGGCCGCAAGGCUGAAACUUAAAGGAAUUGGCGGGGGAGCACUACAACGGGUGGAGCCUGCGGUUUAAUUGGAUUCAACGCCGGGAA